CGGCGGGCUUGGCUACUUUGUACCACAUUAUUUUCCGGCUGCCUCUGCCUCUGUCGUUGUGUGGAAGGAUCGAUGAGAAAGGAUGGAGAAAAAGCUCUUGGUUGAGGACUCGAGGUCAAGUCAAUCACUGGGGAUUGCCGGGAAGGCUGGUGGAUUUUUCCAUAUGCGGCGCCGCAGGAAAGUCGGAUAAAAAGACGAUUGUGACUCCAAGCAUACUGCCCUGCACCUUCAUUUAGUUGGCACGAGCAAGAAAUCUGUUUUUGUUUUUCAAUUCUCUUGUUUAAUUCCCCGAAGUUUGCUUCUUUGUUUAAUAAUGGAGCAACUAUCAUCUA